CCUACGGGAGGCAGCAGUCGAGAAUAUUUCACAAUGGGGGAAACCCUGAUGGAGCGACGCCGCGUGGGGGAAUGAAGGUCUUCGGAUUGUAAACUCCUGUCAUGUGGGAGAAAAUUAAAAAGAUAGUACCACAAGAGGAAGAGACGGCUAACUCUGUGCCAGCAGCCGCGGUAAUACAGAGGUCUCAAGCGUUGUUCGGAAUCACUGGGCGUAAAGGGUGCGUAGGCUGUUUCGUAAGUCGUGUGUGAAAGGCGCGGGCUCAACCCGCGGACGGCACAUGAUACUGCGAGACUAGAGUAAGGGAGGGGUAAGCGGAAUUCUCGGUGUAGCAGUGAAAUGCGUAGAUAUCGGGAGGAACACUCGUGGCGAAGGCGGGUUCCUGGACAUUAACUGACGCUGAGGCACGAAGGCCAGGGGAGCGAAAGGGAUUAGAUACCCUUGUAGUC
rnacentral:rRNA from 1 species